rnacentral:rRNA from 1 species
GAUGAACGUUGGCGGCGUGCCUAACACAUGCAAGUCGAGCGAACAGACAAGGAGCUUGCUCCUUUGACGUUAGCGGCGGACGGGUGAGUAACACGUGGGUAACCUACCUAUAAGACUGGGAUAACUUCGGGAAACCGGAGCUAAUACCGGAUAAUACCUCCAACCGCAUGGUUCGAUAGUGAAAGAUGGUUUUGCUAUCACUUAUAGAUGGACCCGCGCCGUAUUAGCUAGUUGGUAAGGUAACGGCUUACCAAGGCGACGAUACGUAGCCGACCUGAGAGGGUGAUCGGCCACACUGGAACUGAGACACGGUCCAGACUCCUACGGGAGGCAGCAGUAGGGAAUCUUCCGCAAUGGGCGAAAGCCUGACGGAGCAACGCCGCGUGAGUGAUGAAGGUCUUCGGAUCGUAAAACUCUGUUAUUAGGGAAGAACAUACGUGUAAGUAACUAUGCACGUCUUGACGGUACCUAAUCAGAAAGCCACGGCUAACUACGUGCCAGCAGCCGCGGUAAUACGUAGGUGGCAAGCGUUAUCCGGAAUUAUUGGGCGUAAAGCGCGCGUAGGCGGUUUUUUAAGUCUGAUGUGAAAGCCCACGGCUCAACCGUGGAGGGUCAUUGGAAACUGGAAAACUUGAGUGCAGAAGAGGAAAGUGGAAUUCCAUGUGUAGCGGUGAAAUGCGCAGAGAUAUGGAGGAACACCAGUGGCGAAGGCGACUUUCUGGUCUGUAACUGACGCUGAUGUGCGAAAGCGUGGGGAUCAAACAGGAUUAGAUACCCUGGUAGUCCACGCCGUAAACGAUGAGUGCUAAGUGUUAGGGGGUUUCCGCCCCUUAGUGCUGCAGCUAACGCAUUAAGCACUCCGCCUGGGGAGUACGACCGCAAGGUUGAAACUCAAAGGAAUUGACGGGGACCCGCACAAGCGGUGGAGCAUGUGGUUUAAUUCGAAGCAACGCGAAGAACCUUACCAAAUCUUGACAUCCUUUGACAACUCUAGAGAUAGAGCCUUCCCCUUCGGGGGACAAAGUGACAGGUGGUGCAUGGUUGUCGUCAGCUCGUGUCGUGAGAUGUUGGGUUAAGUCCCGCAACGAGCGCAACCCUUAAGCUUAGUUGCCAUCAUUAAGUUGGGCACUCUAAGUUGACUGCCGGUGACAAACCGGAGGAAGGUGGGGAUGACGUCAAAUCAUCAUGCCCCUUAUGAUUUGGGCUACACACGUGCUACAAUGGACAAUACAAAGGGCAGCGAAAUCGCGAGGUCAAGCAAAUCCCAUAAAGUUGUUCUCAGUUCGGAUUGUAGUCUGCAACUCGACUACAUGAAGCUGGAAUCGCUAGUAAUCGUAGAUCAGCAUGCUUCGGUGAAUACGUUCCCGGGUCU